GCCUCCUUAGCUCAGUUGGUAGAGCAACUGAUUUGUAAUCAGUAGGUCGUUGGUUCGAAUCCGAUAGGAGGCU
rnacentral:tRNA from 1 species